rnacentral:rRNA from 1 species
GCGUGGGUGAAGAAGGCCCUCGGGUCGUAAAGCCCUUUCGGCGGGGACGAUGGUGACGGUACCCGCAGAAGAAGCCCCGGCCAACUUCGUGCCAGCAGCCGCGGUAAUACGAAGGGGGCUAGCGUUGCUCGGAAUGACUGGGCGUAAAGGGCGCGUAGGCGGCCCGCUUGGUCAGGCGUGAAAGCCCCGGGCUCAACCCGGGGACGGCGCUUGAGACGGGCGGGCUCGAGGACGGGAGAGGCUCGCGGAAUUCCCAGUGUAGAGGUGAAAUUCGU